AACGAACGCUGGCGGCAGGCCUAACACAUGCAAGUCGAGCGCCCCGCCAGGGGAGCGGCGGACGGGUGAGUAACGCGUGGGAACGUACCCUUUGCUACGGAAUAGCCUCGGGACACUGGGAGUAAUACCGUAUGUGUCCUUCGGGAGAAAGAUUUAUCGGCAAGGGAUCGGCCCGCGUUGGAUUAGGUAGUUGGUGGGGUAAUGGCCUACCAAGCCGACGAUCCAUAGCUGGUUUGAGAGGAUGAUCAGCCACACUGGGACUGAGACACGGCCCAGACUCCUACGGGAGGCAGCAGUGGGGAAUCUUAGACAAUGGGCGCAAGCCUGAUCUAGCCAUGCCGCGUGAGCGAUGAAGGCCUUAGGGUUGUAAAGCUCUUUCAGGGGGGAAGAUAAUGACUGUACCCCCAGAAGAAGCCCCGGCUAACUCCGUG
rnacentral:rRNA from 1 species